rnacentral:rRNA from 1 species
GAGAGUUUGAACCUGGCUCAGGACGAACGCUGGCGGCGUGCUUAACACAUGCAAGUCGAACGAUGAACUUGGAGCUUGCUCUGGGGGAUUAGUGGCGAACGGGUGAGUAACACGUGAGUAACCUGCCCUGGACUCUGGGAUAACCCCGAGAAAUCGGAGCUAAUACCGGAUAGGACCUGGAACCGCAUGGUUUUGGGUGGAAAGUUUUUUCGGUCUGGGAUGGACUCGCGGCCUAUCAGCUUGUUGGUGAGGUAAUGGCUCACCAAGGCGUCGACGGGUAGCCGGCCUGAGAGGGUGACCGGCCACACUGGGACUGAGACACGGCCCAGACUCCUACGGGAGGCAGCAGUGGGGAAUAUUGCACAAUGGGCGAAAGCCUGAUGCAGCAACGCCGCGUGAGGGAUGACGGCCUUCGGGUUGUAAACCUCUUUUAGUAGGGAAGAAGGGCUUCGGCUUGACGGUACCUGCAGAAAAAGCACCGGCUAACUACGUGCCAGCAGCCGCGGUAAUACGUAGGGUGCGAGCGUUGUCCGGAAUUAUUGGGCGUAAAGAGCUCGUAGGCGGUUUGUCACGUCUGCUGUGAAAUCCCGAGGCUCAACCUCGGGCCUGCAGUGGGUACGGGCAGACUGGAGUGCGGUAGGGGAGAUUGGAAUUCCUGGUGUAGCGGUGGAAUGCGCAGAUAUCAGGAGGAACACCGAUGGCGAAGGCAGAUCUCUGGGCCGUAACUGACGCUGAGGAGCGAAAGCGUGGGGAGCGAACAGGAUUAGAUACCCUGGUAGUCCACGCCGUAAACGUUGGGCGCUAGAUGUGGGGACCAUUCCACGGUUUCCGUGUCGUAGCUAACGCAUUAAGCGCCCCGCCUGGGGAGUACGGCCGCAAGGCUAAAACUCAAAGGAAUUGACGGGGGCCCGCACAAGCGGCGGAGCAUGCGGAUUAAUUCGAUGCAACGCGAAGAACCUUACCAAGGCUUGACAUAUACGAGAACGCCGCAGAAAUGUGGAACUCUUUGGACACUCGUAUACAGGUGGUGCAUGGUUGUCGUCAGCUCGUGUCGUGAGAUGUUGGGUUAAGUUCCCGCAACGAGCGCAACCCUCGUCGUAUGUUGCCAGCACGUAAUGGUGGGAACUCAUAUGAGACUGCCGGGGUCAACUCGGAGGAAGGUGGGGAUGACGUCAAAUCAUCAUGCCCCUUAUGUCUUGGGCUUCACGCAUGCUACAAUGGCCGGUACAAAGGGCUGCGAUGUCGUAAGGCGGAGCGAAUCCCAAAAAGCCGGUCUCAGUUCGGAUUGAGGUCUGCAACUCGACCUCAUGAAGUCGGAGUCGCUAGUAAUCGCAGAUCAGCAACGCUGCGGUGAAUACGUUCCCGGGCCUUGUACACACCGCCCGUCAAGUCAUGAAAGUCGGUAACACCCGAAGCCGGUGGCCUAACCCUUGUGGAGGGAGCCGUCGAAGGUGGGAUCGGUGAUUAGGACUAAGUCGUAACAAGGUUAACCGUA